rnacentral:rRNA from 1 species
UACGUAGGGGGCAAGCGUUAUCCGGAAUUAUUGGGCGUAAAGAGUACGUAGGUGGCAACCUAAGCGCAGGGUCUAAGGCAAUGGCUCAACCAUUGUUCGCCCUGCGAACUGGGAUGCUUGAGUGCAGGAGAGGAAAGCGGGAUUCCUAGUGUAGCGGUGAAAUGCGUAGAUAUUAGGAGGAACACCAGUGGCGAAGGCGGCUUUCUGGACUGUAACUGACACUGAGGUACGAAAGCGUGGGGAGCAAACAGG